CACAGCCAGCAAAGCCUCCAAUGGGUACUUCUUUCUUUACAGAAAACAUCUGGCCCCAUAAUCUGCUGUAAUCACAACUCUACUAACUGACUGUGUGACCUUGGGUUAACUUUCUCUGGGAAGACACGAGCACUCAAAGGAAGGUGCUCUGCCCAGUUUACAGAAGGGGAAACAGAAGCUGGCUCAUGCCCCAUCUGACCCCCCAAGUCUUGUCCAGACACAGAAGCCUG
rnacentral:lncRNA from 1 species